GAAGUUAGCGGCGGACGGGUGAGUAACACGUGGGUAACCUACCCAUAAGACUGGGAUAACUCCGGGAAACCGGGGCUAAUACCGGAUAAUAUUUUGAACUGCAUAGUUCGAAAUUGAAAGGCGGCUUCGGCUGUCACUUAUGGAUGGACCCGCGUCGCAUUAGCUAGUUGGUGAGGUAACGGCUCACCAAGGCGACGAUGCGUAGCCGACCUGAGAGGGUGAUCGGCCACACUGGGACUGAGACACGGCCCAGACUCCUACGGGAGGCAGCAGUAGGGAAUCUUCCGCAAUGGACGAAAGUCUGACGGAGCAACGCCGCGUGAGUGAUGAAGGCUUUCGGGUCGUAAAACUCUGUUGUUAGGGAAGAACAAGUGCUAGUUGAAUAAGCUGGCACCUUGACGGUACCUAACCAGAAAGCCACGGCUAACUACGUGCCAGCAGCCGCGGUAAUACGUAGGUGGCAAGCGUUAUCCGGAAUUAUUGGGCGUAAAGCGCGCGCAGGUGGUUUCUUAAGUCUGAUGUGAAAGCCCACGGCUCAACCGUGGAGGGUCAUUGGAAACUGGGAGACUUGAGUGCAGAAGAGGAAAGUGGAAUUCCAUGUGUAGCGGUGAAAUGCGUAGAGAUAUGGAGGAACACCAGUGGCGAAGGCGACUUUCUGGU
rnacentral:rRNA from 2 species